AUUGAACGCUGGCGGCAGGCUUAACACAUGCAAGUCGAGCGAGCGGCGGACGUGUGAGUACUGUCUGGGAAACUGCCAGAUGGAGGGGGAUAAAUACUGGAAACGAUAGCUAAUACCGCAUACCAUCAGAUGUUCCCAUAGGGGAUUAGCUAGUAGGUGGUGUAAUGGCUCACCUAGGCGACGAUCCCUAUCUGGUUUGAGAGGAUGACCAGACACACGGGAACUGAGACACGGUCCAGACUCCUACGGGAGGCAGCAGGGGGGAAGAUUGCACAAUGGGCGCAAGCCUGAUGCAGCCAUGCCGCGUGUGUGAAGAAGGCCUUCGGGUUGUAAAGCACUGUCAGCGAGGAGGCGUUACUCGCAGAAGAAGCACCGGCUAACUCCGUGCCAGCAGCCGCGGUAAUAC
rnacentral:rRNA from 1 species